GUCCGGAUGGCGUAAUGGUCAGCGCAUCUACCUAGUAAGCAGAAGAUACAGGUUCGAAUCCUGGUCCGGCACA